UACGAAGGGGGCUAGCGUUGUUCGGAAUUACUGGGCGUAAAGCGUAUGCAGGCGGAUCAUUAAGUCGGGGGUGAAAUCCCGAGGCUCAACCUCGGAACUGCCUUCGAUACUGAUGAUCUUGAGUCCGGGAGAGGUGAGUGGAACUGCGAGUGUAGAGGUGAAAUUCGUAGAUAUUCGCAAGAACACCAGUGGCGAAGGCGGCUCAUUGGCCCGGUACUGACGCUGAGAUACGAAAGCGUGGGGAGCAAACAGG
rnacentral:rRNA from 1 species